rnacentral:lncRNA from 1 species
CUGAAGCGUCUGUAACCCGAGGUACCACCAAGGUACCAGAAGUUAGGCCCAAUGAGUUGAAUGGGGUUUACUCCCGGUAAGUGGCUAGAAGACUGCAAUUCUAAGCUGCUUAAUAUUUUAGUUUCAUUGCAGAUUUACAGGUUGGGCACAGGUGAUGGCAGGCAGUCUAGCGAUUCAACCAACAGCAAAUGCACUGCCCUCUGGGGAAGAGGGAAUCCAGAUGCUUAAAGCUGCCUUAGGUGGCAGAGGAAUGGUUUUGCCGUAUACUCCCUCUUUCCCCCAAGUUCUGAUGGAUUGCAUAUUUCUGGAAAUUGCAUGCUAUUUCUAAGCCAUUGGCUCCCAUGAAGACACAUUUCCCUCACUGCUGAGGCAUUAGCCAACAAUUUCCUUAUCACAGUAGUAGUAGUAGUAGUAAUUAUUUUAUUUCUACCCCAACACAUAUAAAAACAUAAUAAAACAUCAAACAUUAAAAACGUCCAAAUACAGGGCUGCCUUCAGUUGUCUUCUAAAAGGUGUGUAGUUCUUUAUCUCCUUGGCAUCUGAUGGGAAGGUGUUGUACAAGGGGGGUGCCACUACCGAGAAGGCCCUCUGCCUGGUUCCCUGUAAAUUCACUCCUUGUUGUGAGGGAACUGCCAGAAGGCCCUUGGAGCUGGACCUCAGCAUCCAGGCUGAACAAUUGGGGUGGAAAUGCUCCUUCAGGCCAAAGCCAUUUAGGGCUUUAAAGGUCAGCCCCAACACUUUGAAUUGUGCUCGGAAACGUACUGGGAGCUAGUGUAGAUGCUUUAGGAGCAGAGCUAUAUGGUUCCGGCAGCCAGUCCCUAUCACCAGUCUAGCUGCUGCGUUCUGUAUUAGUUGUAUUUUCUGAGUCAUCCGAAGGCAUGGCCAGAGCUGGCUGGUUGCUUCAAAUAAUAACAGUAUUAACUGCCCUGAAAUCCCUGUCUAUAUCUUUAGGUUUAUGUAUGCUUCCAUGUAGACUGGACCAAGUUAAGAGUUCUGUGUGCUGGUGACAAGCUGCAUAAUUGACAGAAGGCGGAAACCAGAAAAAAUGUAUCUUAAAGGUAUGUUAUAGGUACGGAGGGAAGGAGGGUGAGAGAGUAAGAGCAAGGAGAAAAUAGACAUUUGGAGUUCAAAAAAGGAUCUCAACUUUGAUCUAAGAAGAUAAGAUGAGGCUUGUUGGAUCAGACCAAAGGCUUAUCUAGUCAAGGAAGCUGUUUCUCACACAGGUCAACCAGAUGCCAGAUCUAUGAAGCCAUUCAUGCUCCACACUACCAAUGUGUUUGUCUGUUAGCCACAAUGGUGCAACGCCUGUGCUUCCUGCAAUAAACAUGUAAUAGGGGGAGAGCAGGACCGUCUUAAGCAUAUGCGGCGCCAGGGUGCAAAGAUCCGCCCGGCACCCCCCCCAGCUUGCCCAGAGUUGUUGACCUUUUUCCUGGCUGGCCGCCUCAACAGCAACAGAGGAGCCCGAGGCGGCAGUGGCAGCAGAGCAAGACUGGGGCUGGGUGCCUGGGGGUGGGUGGGCAAGCAGAACCCAGCACAACAACAGUCGAGCCUGAGGCUCAUGUGAGCAGUGCGCCAAUCCCAAGUGCGCAGAAGGGCAGAGCUUGCUGGCUGCCUCAGCGCCUCACUCGCCCGCAGCAGAAGAGCUGCGGUGCCCCGAUGGGCUCUGCUCUGCUUGGCAGCAGCUGUUGGCUCUUCCCAAUCCCCGGACUCCAAAUCUUGGCCCCGGACUCUCGGCCUGGCGCCCCUGAGAGCCCGGCACCCCGCACCACUAGCGCCUAUGGGUAAGACAGCCCUGAGGAAGAGUUGAUAUCAUUUCCACUAGGGAAUUAGAGCCAUCCAUGGGCAGGAAGGAUAUGUCUGUACAGUGGUACCUCGGGUUAAGAACUUAAUUCGUUCUGGAGGUCUGUUCUUAACUUGAAACUGUUCUUAACCUGAAGCACCACUUUAGCUAAUGGGGCCUCCCACUGCCACUGCACGAUUUAUGUUCUCACCCUGAAGCAAAGUUCUUAACCUGAGGUACUAUUUCUGGGUUAGCGGAGUCUGUAACCUGAAGCGUCUGUAACCCGAGGUACCACUGUAUAUCUGAGACAAGCUGUUCCUUUUCUCUCCUCUCCCUGCCACCCCAUCUUCUCUCUUUUUCUGUCACCCCUUCUCUUUUUUUCUCUUUCUGUGAGUCACACAGGAUGAGUCCGGGAGCUGCAGAUUUCCAUCCACUAUCCUACACAGCAACAAAUACACUUCUUCUUCUUUGGCGAUCACUCAUAGCCAAGUAAGAUUGUCUUCCAUGAACACGGUCUUAACAGUGAGUCCGUAAGUAACUGCGGAGGCCAGUUCUGGAUCCACACAUCCUUCCACAUUGGGGACAUAGGUUUCUGGGCAGGAGGGUUUGCCAAAUGUGCCUUCCUCUUAGCAUGUUUCUCCCUUUCGUCCUGAGUUCCAGCAUCUUCAAAGGCUGUUCUCCAAUUGGAACGCUUGCAGGCCAGUGUUUCCCAGUUGUCUGUGCUUAUGCUACAUUUUUUAAGAUUUGUCUUCAAAUCUCUUUCAUUGACCACCAGCAUUAUGCUUUCCACUUUUAAGUUCGGAAUAGAGUAGUUGCUUUGGAAGAUGAUAAUCAGGCAUGUUGAAGAAUCAUUGCUUUGACACUGGUGAUCUUUGCUUCUUCCGGUGCACUGGCAUUAGUUCGCCUGUCUUCCCAAGUGAAGUGUAAAUUUUUUAGGAGACACCAUUGAUGGAAUCUUUUGAGAAAUUGAAGACGGCGUUCGUAAGUGGUCUGUGUUUCAGAAGCAUACAGUAAGGUUGGUAGUACAAUAGCUUUGUAAACAAGCAUUUUGAUUUUCUUGUGAAUGUCCUGGUCCUCAAACACUCUGCACUUCAAUCGGGAGAAAGCUGCACCUGCAGAGCUCAGGUGAUGCUGCAUUUCAGCAUCAAUGUCAGCCCUUCUGGAAAGAUAACUGCCCAGGUAGGAGAAGUGAUUGGCACUUUCCAACAUCACACCAUUGAGUUGGAUUUGUGGCGCUGCAGAGUGGUUUUUUGUGCUUGUUGGUGCAACACUUUGGUUUGAUUUCCAACCAGCAACCAGCAACACACACAAUGGAGACCCUAACAACAACCUGUUUAUAUCUGUCCAUUGUGCAUUUCCGCUUGUGUGUGUUUCCUGUUGGAAACAGGGGCGCAGUUGCAGAAAACACAUAAUUGCUGCGUGCAAUUUGAAGUGGGUUUCAGAAGACAGAAAAUCCAGCUUGGUUGCUAAUGUAGAGAGACAGUUGGCUAUAUACCUAGGAGUUAAAUAAGCCAUUGGUAUUUGAAAAGCCUUGAGUGUAUAAACUGGAUCCUUUAGAUGGAGAAUGAAUGACACCCUAUUUAGAGAUGAAGAGAUUUAUAAGAAGGCCCAAAAAACACUGAAAGAUUACUUUGAGAUAAAUUUGAGAACAGAAGUGGAAAAAAGAAUAAUCUGGGACGCAAGUAAGGCCGUGAUGCGAGGUUUCCUAAUACAACAGAACUCCAUAAAAAAAGGAAAAAUCAAAAUGAAAGGAAAGAAAAAAUUCUGGAAAAAAUAAAAGAAGGUGAAAAGAAAUUGAGGUCUAAACCAAAGUCCCAUGAGAUUCUGAGAGAAAUAAAGCACUAUCAGGUGCAAUAUAUGGAAUUGAUGAAUCAAGAGAUAGAAUGGAAAAUAAAGCAAAUGAGACAAAAGACAUUUGAAUCAGCAGAUAAAUGUGGGAAAUUUCUGUCAUGGCAAUUGAAAAAGAGGCAAAAACUGAACACUGUGACAAGUUUAGAAGUGGAUGGAAAGAUUAUCCACAAACCAAACGAGAUAAGUAAUUGUUUUCAAAGUUACUUCAGGAAAUUAUAUGCACAAGGGCCAGUCAACGAACAGGAAAUAGAAGAAUUUGUUAAGAAACAUGGAUUACCAAAAAUUUCAGAGCAAAGCAGAAGGAUUUUGAAUGAGAAAAUAACAGGACAAGAAAUAGAGGGUGCCAUUCAGAAGAUGCAAUUGGGAAAAUCUCCAGGACCAGAUGGUUUGACCGCCAGAUAUUAUAAAGCGUUGAAGGAAUGGUUAGUACAACCACUGAAGGAAGUAUGUAAUGAAAUUUUGGAGGGGAAAAAGGCACCAGAGUCGUGGAAAGAAGCCUUUAUUUCACUUAUACCGAAAACUGAGACUGAAAAGAACCAGGUUAAAAACUACCGCCCUAUAUCAUUACUCAAUGUGGAUUACAAAAUUUUUGCAGACAUUAUGGCAAAAAGACUGAAGAGAGUGUUGGUAGGGAGAUUCAUAAGGACCAAACUGGCUUUCUUCCAGGGAGACAUAUGUCGGACAAUGUGAGGAACAUUAUAGACAUUUUGGAACUGUUAGAAGUGGACAUCAAUAGGAAGGCUGUUUUAAUUUUUGUGGACGCGGAGAAAGCCUUUGAUAAUAUUGGUUGGAGCUUUAUGAAGAAGAAUCUCCAAGGGAUGGGGGUAGGUCAAGGGUUUGAAAACGGUAUAGGUGCAAUAUAUUCUAAACAAAAGCAAAGUUAAUUGUAAACAAUGUGGUUACGGAAGAAAUAUCUAUAGAAAAAGGUACACGACAGGGGUGCCCAAUAUCCCCUUUACUUUUUAUAUUAGUCCUGGAGGUUUUGUUAAACAUGAUUAGAGGAGACCAGUUGGUUAAAGGAGUACAAGUCGGAGCUAGACAUUACAAGCUAAGGGCAUUUGCAGAUGACCUAGUACUGACCUUGCAACAGCCAGAUACUAGUACUAAAAGAGUAUUAGAACUAAUUGAGAUAUUUGGUCAAGUAGCAGGAUUUAAACUGAACAAACAGAAAACGAAAGUGUUGGACAAAAAUUUAACAUUGGCUGAAAAAGAGAAGUUUCAGAAUGAAACAGGUUUAGUGAUAACGAAAAAGUAAAGUAUCUGGGGGUAAACUUAACAUCUAAGAAUGUGAAUUUAUUUAAGGACAAUUAUGACAAAUGUUGGACAGAGGUAAAGAAAGAUCUAGAAAUAUGGUCAAGGUUGAAACUCUCUUUGUUAGGUCGAAUUGCUGUUAUCAAGAUGAAUGUAUUGCCUAGAAUGUUGUUUUUAUUCCAGACAUUGCAGAUUUUGGACAAGAUGGACUGUUUCAAGAAGUGGCAGAAAGAUAUAUCUAAAUUUGUCUGGCAGGGCAAAAAGCCCAGAAUAAAAUUUAAGAUUCUAACUGAUGCAAAAGAUAGAGGGGGUUUGCCCUGCCGGACUUAAGACUCUACUAUGAAUCGGCGGCUUUCUGCUGGUUGAAACAUUGGCUACUUCUUGAGAAUACAGACAUUUUGGAUCUAGAAGGGUUUGACAAUAGAUUUGGCUGGCAUGCAUAUAUAUGGUAUGAUAAGGUAAAACUGCAUAAAGGUUUCAAAAACCAUAUUGUUAGGAAAGCAUUAUAUAAUGUUUGGAUGCGGUAUAAAGAUUUAUUGGAAAGUAAAACUCCCAGGUGGUUGUCACCAAUGGAAGCUAAAGAGGUGAAAAAACUUAAUAUGGAGUCUAAAUGGCCAAAAUAUUGUGAAAUUUUAGAACAAGAUGGGGAAAAAGUUAAAUUACAGAGUUAUGAGAAAUUAAAGUCCAAAGUGCGAGAUUGGUUGCACUACCUUCAGAUAAACGAGACAUUUAAACAGGACAGGAAAAUAGGUUUCCAGAUGGAGAGGUCAAAAUUAGAAACAGAACUGUUAGAACCCAAUACUAAGAAUCUGUCGAGAAUGUAUAAUCUGCUGUUGAAAUGGAACACACAGGAUGAAACGGUGAAAUCAGCUAUGAUAAAAUGGGCACAAGAUAUUGGUCAUAACAUUAUGUUUGCUGACUGGGAACAGCUGUGGACCACCGGUACUAAAUUUACGGCAUGUAAUGCCUUAAGAGAAAACAUUAUGAAAAUGAUGUAUAGGUGGUACAUGACCCCAGUCAAGCUUGCAAAAAUUUAUCAUCUGCCCAAUAACAAAUGUUGGAAAUGUAAUGAGACUGAAGGUACUUUUAUCACCUUUGGUGGACCUGCCCGAGGAUAAAAGCUUUUUGGGAAAUGAUCUAUAAUGAAAUUAAGAAGGUUCUUAAAUGGACCUUCCCUAAAAAACCUGAGGCUUUUCUCCUGGGCAUUGUCGGCCAAUUGGUGAGAAGGAAGGACAGGACGUUUUUUAUGUAUGCGACCACAGCAGCAAGGAUUCUUCUAGCAAAGUAUUGGAAGACACAACAACUACCCACACUGGAAGAAUGGCAGACGAAGGUGAUCGACUACAUGGGACUGGCGGAGUUGACUGGCAGAAUCCGUGACCAGGGGAAAGAGACAGUGGAAGAAGAUUGGAAGAAAUUCAAAGUUUAUCUUAGAACUUGUUGUAAAAUUCAGGAAUGUUAAAAUGUCAAGGGGUUGGGAAACAGAGAAUUGCAGCUGUAAUUAACAAUAUUAGAAGAACUUAAAAGAAAUUGAAUUGAAUAAUUAGUCGACUGAGGAGUUGCUGAAGAAAUAUAAAACAAGGAUGCAGAAAAGGGGAGGUAUGGGGAAGUCCGGAAAGUAAGGUUUAUGAAAAAAUGGUUAUGAAAUUAUACAUGUUUAUAUGUUUGUAUGUCGGUGUAUUGUGUAUUGUUUGUUUUUUUUUUAUUUUGUGUUUGGAAAAUUAAUAAAAAUUUAUUCAAAAAAAAAAAAAAUGAAAAGCCUUGAGUGUAUAAUUCAUUUCAGAAUGAAUUCCAGCAUAUAUGGCAGGAAGCCUGUUCGGAGACUGUUCACAGUAUGUCUGUCCUUAAGCAGCAUUAUCAGUCUUUCAUUUUUAUGAGCUAUACAAAUUUACAGAGUUCAAACUUCUAUCUUUUACGAGCGGAAUAGAGUAGGAGAUGAGCCAUGCUGCACGACACCUUCCUAAGCAGGAAGAUUAUGAUGGAUGAGCAGAACACAAUACCUCCUAGUAAAACAGUGAAAUGGCAAAAUGGCUCUCAAGAGUCCUUUUCUAGGAUUCCAAAGAAACUAUUUCAUGAAACCUGGAGGGUGGGGAGGAGGUAGAAAGGAAAGACGAAUGAAAAAUUCAGAUGAUGGGGGCAAAUUCAAACCAGCAGUAGUGUAGUAGAUGAAUUGCCGUGAGGUGACUCUUUCCUUCAAUCCUGAGAUGGAAUAAUGGUCUUGAGGAAGUACUUUGCUGCAGGGAAGCGACUAAUAUCUAUGUUUUUGAUUGCCACAACCCACAUGGCAUGUUUGCAAGACUGGAUAUAUGUCCAGAAUAAAACGCCAAGUUUCCAAGCAGUUAUAAAGGACACGUGUGGACAUUGGUGGGAGUGUACAGGAGAUGGUGCAACUAAAUCGAUGGCACAGAAUUGGGAAGGCUCAACGUUAUGAGCAAUAAAUAGGUGUGUCGGCACUUUGAUGAGGAACAAGGAAAAGCCACAGGGAGGGAGAGCAAUCGUAACAGCCUGGCUCCCAGUGAAAUAGCAAGCCAGCGAAUUAUUUGAAUUGGAAACAACGUACACAUGUGCUGCAUUGUCAGCUGAUGUGAAAAAUUAGCCACAGUUUUGGAACCAGUGUGGUAUAGUGGUUAGACUGUCAGGCUAAGAUAUGGGAGACCAGGGUUCAAAUCCCUACUUGGGCACAAAGCUCACUUUGGGCCAGUCGUUGCCUCUGUCAGAAAUCCUUGUCUGAAACCCUGAAAAAACAAGGUUGGCUACUGCAGACAAUACUGAGAAAGGAUGGGCCAGUGGUCUGACUGGAUAAGGCAGCUUCCUAUGUUCCUAUUAGAUUAGCCUUGAAGACUAUUUUUAAAUAGUUUUAAAAAGCAGAAAAGAUUAAGACCUCUAGCCUCAUCCAGUUUGGGAGUAAUUUACAAUCUUUCAAAAGGCAGAACAUGGUGAAAUAUGAAAAGCACGCAAUUAAAGCUUACAUAAAACAUUUAUAUUUUACAGUGACACACCAUCAAAUCAGAAAACCCAUGUGCCAGGAGGGGGAAGGGAAAUGUAAAGGAUUAAGAUGAAAACUGCACAAGAGGGUUCAUACAGAAGAUCACAGAAAAUGGUUGCACUGUAGAUGUGAGCAAAAAGAUGAAAUGUUACCUUCAUUGCAGGGGGUUGGACUAGAUGGCCCCGGGGAGCUUUUCCGACUCUAAAAUUCUAUGAUUCUAUGAAUUACUUUAGAAUUAUAUUUUGUCUUAACUUUUUUUGCUAUGAUUAGGUAAUGGAAAAGAUUUGCAUUGCUAUGUCUUGGGAUUGCAGCUAUAAUAGAUCCAUCAGAAAUGAUGAAGUGCCUGGAGUCACAGUGGAUGAUUUGAAUGGGAAAGCUGGUCUGAUUCCAUCGUUCUUUGUCCAAAAGAUACUAAGGGGCUAUAAAGGGAAGAUUAGACAAAUUCAAGGAUGACGAGUCUCUCAGUGGCUAUGCAGAGCAUCUGUGUUCAAAGACAGUUCACCAGAGCUGGGGGAAACAAUCGGGGAGGGCUGCUUCUUUCAUGUCCUGCUCAUCAGCUUCUCUGGGGCAUCAGGCUAUACAUACAGUGUUAGGAACAAAGUUCAGGACCACAGAAGACUCGGUGAAGCAGAGCAGGUCUGACAUUAUAGUGUACAUUUCUUCAAAACAUUUAACACGACACAUUGUAAUUGGCGGAACAUCACAACCGGGAUUGUGGGGGAUCUGCCACCCCAUAAUGUGGUUGUACCCCAACCCCCAUUAACCCUAGCCAGCAUGGCCAAUGGUCAAGUAUAAUGAGAGAUACAGUCCAAUAACACCAGAUGGCAUGCAAAUUCCCCAUCUCUGUCUUACAGCAUUCUCCAAAUUCUGUAAGCAGCCAUUCCACCUGCUGAGAUGGUAUGGUCCACCCAAUCAGCUUGACUGGGAUCACUGCCAUUUGGCGCCUCCUCUCCUCAAACUGUCUUCCCCAAUGGUCAUUCCACUUGGUCAUUCCACUUCUGAAUAAUUAGUGCCUGAAUAUUAAUAGUUCCCUCCUUCCUGAUCCCCUUUCCCCCUUUUGUAUUGUGCAAAUUGUGUUGUGACUGUGCAGGCAGGGGCUGUUUUCUUUGUAAAUCUUUGUACAGUGCCUAGAAAACUUUAGGUGCUUUCUAACCAAUGACAAUAAUUUGCAGACGAAGAUCACUAGAAUGUCUGUAUUGUGCGCUUCAAUUACCCAGCUUGCAAGUUAUAUGCUGAUGUAAUACUCUUGAUUAUUGUCUUUUCCUCCAGUCUCUUUCUGCCUGUAUCGUGGCUCCAGUCACAUUAGUCAUUCGCAUACUGCACGGAACUGACACUUGCUUUCUGUCUUAUGUGCAUUUUUGUGAAAAUAACCAGGCGGUUUCCUGUGUGUUCAGUAAGUGCUCUAAGUUCCUUUAAGGGAAGAACAAGGUAUUUGUGUAAACAAAACUGCAGCUGGC